rnacentral:rRNA from 1 species
GACAGAGGCCUCAAGCGUUAGGCGGAAUCACUGGGCUUAAAGCGUGUGUAGGCGGAUCGUUAAGUGUCUUGUGAAAUCCCACGGCUCACCCGUGGAACUGCUGGGCAUACUGGCGAUCUUGGGCCAACUAGGGGCAACUGGAACAAGCGGUGGAGCGGUGAAAUGCGUAGAUAUUGUAAGGAACACCCGUGGCGAAAGCGGCUCACUGGGUCUUUUCUGACGCUGAUGCACGAAAGCUAGGGGAGCAAACGGG